UUUUUAGUUUUUUCAAACAUUUUUUCAAAUUUGAAAAAAAAUUUCAAUUUUCUUCUCGUGAUUGGUCGAAAUAAAAGUAAACAAACAAAUCAGCCAAUCAACACAGAGAAUCUAAAAUCGAUUAUCGAUAAUCGCGUAGCGCGACUCUAGCGCUAGCGACGCAACCUGAAAGUUGUAACAUUCCAUUCCAGUGAGUUGAGUCAUUCAUUGAAAAAUUGAUUAAUUACCGGAUUAUUUUAAAUAAUUAGUGAUGAAAAUGGUUCUUAUACAGCUUUCAAAAGCUGUAUUUAAAUACUGGAGUGUUAUUCCAUUGAAAUAUGCAUCAUUUUAAACUAACCGAAGUGAUCAGUGAGAAGCAAAAUGCUAUACGAUUAUAGCAGAACCUUCUUCGUAAAUUCAUCCUCGCCGGAAUUUAUUGUGGUAGUAAUCAUCGCUUCUAUUUACGAAUACAUAUAUCGAGCUUUCAUCGUUUGAUGAUUUACUCGUUAUGCGGAAAAUGAAACGUGAAAUCCGAGCGUUCGAAUAUCAAGCGUCAGUUCGUAGGCCUAUCCAGCUUUAUACGUAUAUAUAGAAAGAAAUUUACGACGAUCAGUUCGAAGCUUUACGUAAAAAUACUCACGCUGAGUAAUUCUUCGUCGUUAGUCGUUAGAUUCGACAUUUUUGUUUACGAAGGAGACUGCAGAUGAUUGGAUUCGCGAAGAACUGGUUGUUCGAUUACAUUUACUUUCGUUACACCGGUCAAAAGUGUUCUACGUUUGAUAAACUUACUGGAUGAGAUCAUCACCGGUGAACUGGAACAGUAGAAAAUGAACAGGAAUGGCUUCGCUUUGCUUAUGUCAUCCGAGUACCUUCAUAGAACACCGAAUAUCAUACUGGAGUUAUGAUCCUGGAAAUUCUGUUACUGAAAACGACGUAAAACAAGAUGGCAAAGUCAUAGACGAUGAUGGUGAACUGCAACUGAAGUGAACAGCUGUUGAAAUCUCGAUCCGAGGAGUACCUAGUACAAUUUGUGAUAAUGAAUAAUCGAAGAAAAUCGAACUAGUGAUGACUUACGAGAGCAGACUUCUUUGCCACUAUCUCGUACUCGUCAAGUAGAAGUCUUAUUACUGCAUCGUGAAAUUUGAUUUUUAAAAGAUUGACUUCGAAUGCGAUUACCUACCGCUAAACUGAACGAAGAAAGGAUUGAAUAUCGGAUUCAUCAGCGUUGAACGAUGAGUAAUGAUCUGGGAGUUCAAGACAGAUCCUGAUCUAAGAACGGUAUUCGGAUGCAGCUCCUACCUACCUGUGAUAUCAUCAGCUCCAGAAUAUUCUCCAGCUUCGAACGUGCGACAUCGACACCUUAUGUAUGUUAGCUGAUAUCUCUCGCCUCCCACCCGCCUGUCCAGUUUCAAUUUAACGCGAUCUGCUUUUGACGGAAUAGCCAGCGCAGCGUGGCGAUUUUAUUCGGCGGAACCGGAAUUUUACCGAGCUUCGAGAAGCACUUUUUAAGCAUGUACGUACAAUGUUUGUAAAAAAUGUAACUUGCCCCCCCCCUGUCCCUUUAACGCAGCAUUUAUACGAUGGACGCGAUACAGCGCAGAAUAAUUAUUUUUUGAGAAGUAGGAUACUCAGACUUACCAGCUCGCAGAACGAUAUUUUUCACGUGCAAUUUUUAUCACGUGCGAAUUUAUUGAAUGGUCAUCAUUACCCUCGUUGACCUAUACAUUUGAACGCAGCACUUGAGUGUGAUAAUUUUAGCUGACAUAAUACAUAUGUGUACUUCUACGUCAAAAGGGCCCAUUCGGUCGGUGCCGAGAAGGGUAUAGAUUUUAUUUUUCAAAAAUCAAAAUAAGCUUCCAAUGUUCUCCGGUGGAUUCCAACAGUGUUUGAGUGUGAAGCUGUCCAUGAAAGCAUCACGUUCGCGCGCCAUUUAAAUCAAUUGGAAAACUUUGGAAGAUUGUACCGAUUUUUGAAAAAUAAAAUCUACACCCUUCUCGGCACCGACCGAAUGGGCCCUUUUGACGUAGAAGUACACAUAUUAUUCCAGUUUGAAGAACGAUAUUCUAAGCAUGCGAAUUUGUAAACGUGAUUAUAUCCUCGCUUACUACAUAUUUGAUGAUUGAAAUGAUUCUAUUGGAAGAGCUCUACGUCGUCGGGCUGAACGUUGUGCAAAGUCUUUUGUGUCUGGAAGCUGGCAUCUGCUACGCCAUGUAGGAGGCGUGUGACUGUGAAGUGUGCGCGAAGUUGGCGAAGGCUUCAAAAUAGGCAUAUGGGGUAAGAUUCGAGACGGAGGUUGGUGCGUACGGACCUCCGAGUCGACCGAGCUCGGACUGCCCUUGUGGCCGACUUAGGCGAGGUUAGGGUAGAAAUCCGUGCGCCGUCUACUUGCUUACUGCUUCCCGGCGGUACACGUGCCGACCGGGGUUUUUACAGGAUCGGGCUUAUCAAAUGGGAUGUAGGCUGGCGCCUUUCAGGCGGUCUGUUAUCACUUCGUAGGAGUGUAACUUUUAUUCCUACGCUGAGGUCAGCGUGUUGUAAAUUUUACUCUGGUACGAAGUUAUAACCGACCUGUCUGCGGGGUCAGCUAUAUACCUUGCCUUGAGGAUAAGUUCAGCCUAUCCCGCAGUGUUGGCGCUUUGGUAGAAUGCCAUGAUGAGUCAUGAACAUUCAGCAGCACUGCCCGUGGUGAGUGUAGGGAAUUUGAGAUACUGUUCCGGAGAGUUGGGCCCGACAAAGGGUUCGAUUGUCUGGACUGUUGAGAGUGCGAGAAGAGCGGAUGUCGAUCUGGAUUUUUAUGCUUUGUUAGAAUCUAGGUAAACGUGUAAGGUCUUUCCGUCAUCGUAUGGGUAGAGAUUGUUCAAAAAUUGAUCUAUUAAAAUGAUUAGCAGCGAACUUUCUAGGAAUGUGUUUUGGUCAUCAUUGGUCGGAUGGGAAAUGACUGGGGUUCGAUUUUGGUACUGUGUGAAGAGUCAGGUACAGGUGAGUCGUCACAAUGUUACGUAUUAUAAGUUAGUUUAUACAAGUCGAUUCAGGUGAGUCGUUAUUUAAUUACUUAUUAAUUAAGAUAACCUUAUUUGCGUCAAAUUUGAGAUAUGAGACAGCGUAAUUGUCAAGCAUUGACGCUGUUUUACAAUGAAAUUUGUCGAGAAAUUGAGAUUAGGACACCCCCCCCCCCGUCCCUCUACUUUUUAUGUACAUAAUGUUGGUGUUGUAUCACAUUUUUGUUUGUAUAUUUCUUUAAUUGAAAAUUUGUAUCAAUCACAUGUUAUUAUUAUUCGUGUAUUUUUGUAAUGACCAGUCAUGGUUUUUCACUAUCGAGCGGCCGGCAGUGUUUCUUAAUCGAGGUUGGUCAACGUGUUGUAGAAUUAAGAUUGUAUUGAUUUUCUUUGCCGUUGAAAGAUUGAAACGAUUUUCGUUUUGU